rnacentral:miRNA from 1 species
UGGGCGAGGGGUGGGCUCUCAGAG